GUGGUGGAAAAUGCAAAAAUCUAGGCAGAAACGGUAUGGAUAUUUUUUUUAAAAAAUAAAUCCGGUCUUUUUUUUAAUGGCCAGAGAGAGUUCUAUAUUACGACGGUUCUAUUAACUGUAUAGCAAAUUUCAUUUUUUUGCUGACAUUGUUGUAAGAGGCAGCCAUGAUACGAUUGGAUAUAAGUGAAUAUAUGGAGUGGCAAAGAAAGUAGUUGGCAAGAUUAAAGUAGAAGGAGAGUAAGACAAGGUGUUCUUGUCCAGAGUACGAUUAACCUCCUAUAAAUACCCAUCCAUCCAGCAGCAUCCACACUCGGAGAAGCAGAGGCUCUCUUGGAAUGGAAAGCCAACAUCUUCUCACCACAAGCUCUCCAUUCAUGGUCACUUCCAGCUGCUAAUGCCAGUGCCAACACAAUCUCUCCAUGCAAAUUGUAUGGGAUCUCCUGCAACGGCCUUGGAAGCGUAAUAGAGAUAAGCUUACCGAGUACAGGCUUGCAAGGUAAGCUUGAUAACUUGAGCUUCUCCUCAUUUCCAAACCUCUUCCAUCUCAAUCUCA